AUGCCCAGGCUCAUGACCCACAGCCGGAGCUUCGUCGCCGACAGGGGCGACCCUCCUCCGCCGUCGAACAAGAUCCCCAAGAGCCCCUUCCCACCUGAGAAGAUCUCGAUGAGCUUCACGUCCGUGUGGAUCAUGAGCAGGAUGGCCAGGAAGGAGGAGCCCUCCUCGCCGGUCUCCGACGACAACGACGACGUUGGCAGCACAGCCAUGUCCUCCAAGCGGCGCCCCUUGUCGGUCGCUCGGGUGCCGUGCCGGGAAAGCUCAAUGCUCUCGGAAGCCAUGGAGCAGAGGGAGCAGGCGCAGAAGGUGGCACUUGAGGCCUUGCGCAACGCGUCGGCGACGGAGAACGUAGUUAGGAUCUACAAGUAUGUCCAGCAAUGGCACCUCUUUUUCCUAUGGCAAUUUGACACCGUCUGGACAGAGUGGCUUGUCUGCUUGAGCCCGCAUACUACGACGGCCAACUUGCUCGGUGCACGCGUCGGUUGGUCCCAGGUCAGGCCCCUCUAG
rnacentral:rRNA from 1 species